rnacentral:rRNA from 1 species
GUCCACGCCGUAAACGAUGGAUACUAGCUGUUGGGAGCAAUCUCAGUGGCUAAGCGAAAGUGAUAAGUAUCCCACCUGGGGAGUACGGGCGCAAGCCUGAAACUCAAAGGAAUUGACGGGGGCCCGCACAAGCGGUGGAGCAUGUGGUUUAAUUCGAUGAUACGCGAGGAACCUUACCAAGGCUUAAAUGUAGAUUGACCGGUUUGGAAACAGAUCUUUCGCAAGACAAUUUACAAGGUGCUGCAUGGUUGUCGU